rnacentral:rRNA from 1 species
UACGGAGGGUGCAAGCGUUAUCCGGAUUCACUGGGUUUAAAGGGUGCGUAGGCGGGCAUGUAAGUCAGUGGUGAAAUCUCCGGGCUUAACCCGGAAACUGCCGUUGAUACUAUGUGUCUUGAAUAUCGUUGAGGUUUGCGGAAUAUGUCAUGUAGCGGUGAAAUGCUUAGAUAUGACAUAGAACACCAAUUGCGAAGGCAGCAGGCUAACCGAACAUUGACGCUGAGGCACGAAAGCGUGGGGGUCAAACAGG